CCGCCCCCCAGGCAUCCAGAGUCUCUCCCGGUGUGGUGGGUAAGCGAGCAGCAGGUGCCACCCAGAACUGGCAGCUUCUAGAACUGCCCCGCCAGUCCUCCAGGGAGGGUCGCCCCCAAGGCCUCAGCAUCCUCACAGGACUUUACACAGGUCCGACCUCGGAAGGCAGCCCAGGGCUCCCAGCCUUCCAAGGCCCCACAAAGGCCCAAUUCCCAGACCACUCCCCAGAAAUCAAUGGCACUUGUGACUUCCUCCCCGCCACACCCCGCCCAGCUCUACUCACUGAUUCAUUGGCUUCCACCUUAUUGGCGAGGCUCCCUUCCUGAGCAGCCAGGGUAAGAGGACUCCCAGGGUGGGGACUGAGGCCCAGGAGGGAACAGAAAGCCUGGUGCUUUAAUUAGAGGUAAUUGGUUAAUUUACUCUGAAAGCUUGGGGGAGGGGAGGGGAUAGAGUCUGUGGCCUAAUAGGGCUCAGACUCAAACUGGUGAGUCUCUUUCCGGACCAGAGCUGACCAAAGCGAACCCACCCACCCAGGACAUCCACUCUUCGCCCAGGUCAGAGCAAGGCCCAUAGCAGACUGGGGUCGCCCUGCAGGAGAAAAAAAAUAAUAAAGCAGGUGCCCUGGGGUAGUGGGCAAGGCCUGCUGAAGUUAGGGAGAUAGGAACUGAGGACUGGGGAGGUGCAGCGGGUUCUGGGAUGGGAAUCGAUCCCUUUCUUCUCCUCUCCUUGUACAUCCAUCCCUCCCAAGAUCAUUGCCCCAACCCCGGCCAGGUUAGGGGCCUACCCUCCUCCUGUGGUCAGUGACCUCUCAGGCCUGCCCAUCCUCAGGGGCCUGAAGGCUCACUUCACUCCCUCCAGCUUCAGAAAACCGUUCCAAUCACCAAGGAAUGGGACGACAGAGGGAAGACCCCUGCCAGGCCCCAGGGGGCGCACGUAGGUCCUGCAUCAGCCUUGGCUUUGCUCGCUGGAAAUUCUCCAUGACCCAGGAAACCCUGAGGGCAGGAUUCUGUAGACAGAGUACUGUGCCCAGCACAGCACUAGGUGCUCAGAGGGUCUGGAGUGAGAGGCUCUUGGAAAGAUGGGACAAGUCGGCUCAGGUCACAGAAUCUGGAAAGAACCAACAAUGGGAAGUGACCUCAAAACCCAUCUGGUCCAGCCGCUCCCCCACCCACCCACAUAACCUCCCAUCUGGGGGGUGACCUUCUGCCUCAACCCCUGCAGGAUCAGGUAUCUUCACUCAUUCUUUCGUUCAUUCAUUCACCCAAUGGAUUCACCCCACCAGCUUCUACAUCUCAGGGGCCGAGGCAACCCAAUUCAUUUUCAAGGGCACGAGCUAAAUCCUUAACAAGAGGAGCCAGGNGAGCUAAUUCCUUAACAAGAGGAGCCAGGAAUCCAUCAGCCAUUCUUGCCGGCCCUGGCACAGCGCUAAGUAGAAAUAGAAGACGCUGACCAGCUAACCCCAACACACACAUCUCUGUUGCAUGGCAGUGUUUACACCCAGCACAUCCUGGGUUUCAUUUCACACUCAACAACCAUCCCAGGUGCUGCGGGCCUUCUUGAUGAGUGGAAGCUGAGUCUGAGUGGAAGAAUGACUUUGCCAGUGUGAGUGAAGUGAGCCAGGAUGCAGCCUGGACAGCCGUACUCCUGGUCCAGUGCACGCACACACACACAGACACACACACACACUGAUCAGCUGGGGUUUCAUGUGAAAGAUGGGUUUAGCCUCAGGGGGAAAGAAAAUGUGAUUUAAGCUCCUAACUGUAAAAUAAUAACAGCGAAAGCAGGCCACAGGCCUGCUGGGUCCCAGACACUGCACUGUUUGUUAAAGGCAAGAGAAGCCAGUGGUGAAUCAAGAGCUCCCACCACCCCUCCUCCGGGGCCCAGCUGGGCUGCCCUGGGCGGGCACAUGCACGCACGCACACAUGCACACCCCCGGGUGGCGUGAGUCCCUGCACGUCCCAGGAGACGGGCUGUCCCAGCCCCUUCACUCCCCUCUGAUAAGCCAGCGGCUUCCAGAGAGCCAGGCACGUCCCCUUCAGGCUGGCCAUGUAGGGCACGUGCCAAGCCAGCUGCCAAGGCCCCGGUCCCCAGCCCCUCUGGGCCCUAGAGCUAUCUCCUCCAUGGCUGACCUGCUCAACCUCAGGAACGGGGUGGGGUGGCGACACCCCGGAAUGUGAGACCCGGAGCCCCCACCCAAGCCCUUCCUCAGCCUGUGCUGCAGGCCUGGGGACAUCAUGAGGGGCCUCAGGCACCCUUUGUGGGCACCCGGCCCCUGGACACACUCUAGGUGGUACAGAGAAGUGAGGAGAGGCUGGGAAGAGGGGGGCAGAUGAGGGUCCACCAGGAAAGCAGGCGACCAAGGGGGAAGUAGGAGUGGGCCUGGGAGAGGCAGAAAUGUCUGCGUGAGAUCUAGGCUGGGAAUCAAGGAGACAGGGAGAGCUUGGCGGGGCGUGCUCACUGGGUAGGUGGAACUUAGGAGGGAGUCACCAUGGGAAUGUGGGAGGAGGCAAUUAGCGAAAGGACUCUGGAGCAGGUGGAGCCGGGCUGGGACCUUUGUCUUGCCACUCAAAAGCUGACCUUAGGUGUGUGGCGCAGUCUCUCUAAGCCCCGCCAUAUCACGUGCAGAAAGGGGACAGGCGUCGUACCCACCUUGCAGAUUUGUGGGAAGUAAACGAGGCCUUGGGUGUGAAGCGCCAGCACAGCACCUGGCCCACAGGACCUCCUCUGUUCACAGGAGCUGUUGUGAGGAAAGUGCAGGAAGGGGUCUGAGAACAAACCCGGGGCUGUUAGCAAGGUGGUGUGCAGGGCAGAGACGCAGCGGAGGGCCUGGGGCCACGGACUCCGGGUGACCUCCAGGUCCCUGUCCCUUGAGGGCUGUAGAGAAGACGGGAUGAUGCCACGGCUGCUAUGUUGGAUCCCAGAGGAUUCUGGGAGCACACGUCUCACCCCACGCUCUCUCCGUUCACACCAGGGGACUGCAGAGAGGAAGCGGGGCUUGGCCAAGGUCACUCGGACAGCAAGGACAGGAGGCAGGUCUGCUAACCCCCAAGCUGCCUCCCUUCCCUGUGAGCCAUGCUGACCCCUGUUUAGAAGGAGUCAAAGGCCCCCUUCUCCCCAACUCCAUGAAAGGGAAAGACCUGGAAGGCAUGUUCCCUGGAAAGGAAGAUGAAAGGCUGGGCUCCCAUUCCCGCCCGGGCUUGAAUGAAGACCUUGCCGAGGCCUGUAGAAUGUGUGGG
ensembl:lncRNA